rnacentral:rRNA from 1 species
CACGUAGGGGGCAAGCGUUGUCCGGAAUCAUUGGGCGUAAAGAGCUCGUAGGCGGCUCAGUAAGUCGGGUGUGAAACCCUCAGGCUCAACCUGGGGACGCCACCCGAUACUGCUGUGGCUAGAGUCCAGUAGGGGAGUGUGGAAUUACCGGUGUAGCGGUGGAAUGCGCAGAUAUCGGGAGGAACACCAGCGGCGAAGGCGGCACUCUGGGCUGGUACUGACGCUGAGGAGCGAAAGCGUGGGUAGCAAACAGG